AUGGCGUCCCUCCUGGAGAUCUUCGUGGGAUCCUGUUCCUCCUCGGCGCCGCCGGUGGACUGGGAGGCGGAGGCCUACCCGGAGUACGCCGACUACGCCGUCCUCCCCCUGCUCCUCGCCUUCUUCCCCGCCCUGCGCCUCCUCCUCAACCAGUUCCUCUUCGAGGUGUUAGCAAGACGACUUAUAUUUGGAAAGGGAUAUGACAAGCUUGUUGAAACAGAUGAAAGGAGAAAGAAAAUCAAUAAAUUUAAGGAAUCGGCAUGGAAAUUUGUUUAUUAUCUUUCUGCAGAACUCUUUUCACUAUCUGUAACAUACAAUGAAUCGUGGUUUACAAAUACAAGAUACUUUUGGGUAGGGCCUGGCGAGCAGCUGUGGCCUGACCAAAAGAUGAAGCUAAAGCUUAAGGCUGUAUACAUGUAUGCCGCUGGAUUUUACGUAUAUUCUAUCUUUGAUCUUCUGUUCUGGGAAACAAGACGCAAGGACUUCGGAGUCAUGAUGUCUCACCAUGUGGCAACUGUUGUUCUGAUUGUUGUGUCCUAUAUUUGCAGAUUAUCUCGUCCUGGCUCGGUCAUUUUACCCCUCCAUGAUGCAAGUGAUAUAUUCCUAGAGAUUGGAAAGAUGGCCAAGUACAGUAGCUGUGAGUGGCUAGCUGUUGUAGCAUUUCUACUUUUUGUGGCUUCAUGGAUCCUUCUUCGGCUAAUAGUGUUUCCUUUCUGGAUCCUAAGAAGCACCAGUUAUGAAAUAGCUAUGAUCGUGGACAACGAGAACAGAAAAAUCUACAGAACCUCGUACUACUAUCUCUUCAACACUCUCUUGUUUUCACUUCUGGUCUUUCACAUAUAUUGGUGGGUACUGAUUUACCGGAUGCUCGUCAAACAAAUUCAAUCCAGAGGUCAUGUUGGUGAGGAUGUCCGAUCCGCUGCCCCUGCUAUUAAACAGAUUCUGAAGGCGAAAACAACCAUGAAGAUUAAGCUGAAGGUUGUUGGAUGCUUAACUGAAGAACUGUAUAGUUCGCAGUUGGGAAUGAGAAUGGUGCAAGUGGGUUGUAUAAAGAAUGAGAAUGUCAAGGAGGAGCUAGUUAGCAUAUCCAUCAGUAGGAAAUUCAGGCACAAAACGAAAACUGAAAAGGCUCGAAUCUCGGUGCCACUGGAACAAGCCUCCUUGAUAUGUAUCUUUUUUGUAUAUUGA
rnacentral:rRNA from 1 species